GCGACCCCAGGAUGGGCGAGGCCACCCGCCGAGUUUAAGCAUAUCAAUAAGCGGAGAAGAAGAANCUUACGAGGAUNCCC
rnacentral:rRNA from 1 species